AUUGAACGCUGGCGGCAGGCCUAACACAUGCCAGUCGAGCGGAUGAAGGGAGCUUGCUCCUGGAUUCAGCGGCGGACGGGUGAGUAAUGCCUAGGAAUCUGCCUGGUAGUGGGGGAUAACGUCCGGAAACGGGCGCUAAUACCGCAUACGUCCUGAGGGAGAAAGUGGGGGAUCUUCGGACCUCACGCCAUCAGAUGAGCCUAGGUCGGAUUAGCUAGUUGGUGGGGUAAAGGCCUACCAAGGCGACGAUCCGUAACUGGUCUGAGAGGAUGAUCAGUCACACUGGAACUGAGACACGGUCCAGACUCCUACGGGAGGCAGCAGUGGGGAAUAUUGGACAAUGGGCGAAAGCCUGAUCCAGCCAUGCCGCGUGUGUGAAGAAGGUCUUCGGAUUGUAAAGCACUUUAAGUUGGGAGGAAGGGCAGUAAGUUAAUACCUUGCUGUUUUGACGUUACCAACAGAAUAAGCACCGGCUAACUUCGUG
rnacentral:rRNA from 1 species